rfam:Otolemur garnettii contig002376, whole genome shotgun sequence.
UUUUUAGCCUAUAAAAGAUAAUGGAACAUGUUUUAUACACUGGAUUUUAUCUCAUCCCCUUUCCCUCUCUGGACUACACUCAGUUUAAUAGUUGUCAGUUUUUCCUCAAUGUUAGAUUUAAUUAUAUAGGAACAAAAUAGUCCUCAGUAAAUUAGUUUGCUAAGUAGUCUCACGUUUGUGAUUUCCCCUUUGAGAAAUAGUUUAAUUACAGAGAUCUACCU